UACGAAGGGGGCUAGCGUUGCUCGGAAUCACUGGGCGUAAAGCGCACGUAGGCGGCUUUCUAAGUCAGGGGUGAAAUCCUGGAGCUCAACUCCAGAACUGCCUUUGAUACUGGAAGGCUUGAGUCCGGGAGAGGUGAGUGGAACUGCGAGUGUAGAGGUGAAAUUCAUAGAUAUUCGCAAGAACACCAGUGGCGAAGGCGGCUCACUGGCCCGGUACUGACGCUGAGGUGCGAAAGCGUGGGGAGCAAACAGG
rnacentral:rRNA from 1 species